rnacentral:rRNA from 2 species
AGAGUUUGAUCCUGGCUCAGGAUGAACGCUGGCGGCGUGCCUAAUACAUGCAAGUCGAGCGAACGGACGAGAAGCUUGCUUCUCUGAUGUUAGCGGCGGACGGGUGAGUAACACGUGGAUAACCUACCUAUAAGACUGGGAUAACUUCGGGAAACCGGAGCUAAUACCGGAUAAUAUUUUGAACCGCAUGGUUCAAAAGUGAAAGACGGUCUUGCUGUCACUUAUAGAUGGAUCCGCGCUGCAUUAGCUAGUUGGUAAGGUAACGGCUUACCAAGGCAACGAUGCAUAGCCGACCUGAGAGGGUGAUCGGCCACACUGGAACUGAGACACGGUCCAGACUCCUACGGGAGGCAGCAGUAGGGAAUCUUCCGCAAUGGGCGAAAGCCUGACGGAGCAACGCCGCGUGAGUGAUGAAGGUCUUCGGAUCGUAAAACUCUGUUAUUAGGGAAGAACAUAUGUGUAAGUAACUGUGCACAUCUUGACGGUACCUAAUCAGAAAGCCACGGCUAACUACGUGCCAGCAGCCGCGGUAAUACGUAGGUGGCAAGCGUUAUCCGGAAUUAUUGGGCGUAAAGCGCGCGUAGGCGGUUUUUUAAGUCUGAUGUGAAAGCCCACGGCUCAACCGUGGAGGGUCAUUGGAAACUGGAAAACUUGAGUGCAGAAGAGGAAAGUGGAAUUCCAUGUGUAGCGGUGAAAUGCGCAGAGAUAUGGAGGAACACCAGUGGCGAAGGCGACUUUCUGGUCUGUAACUGACGCUGAUGUGCGAAAGCGUGGGGAUCAAACAGGAUUAGAUACCCUGGUAGUCCACGCCGUAAACGAUGAGUGCUAAGUGUUAGGGGGUUUCCGCCCCUUAGUGCUGCAGCUAACGCAUUAAGCACUCCGCCUGGGGAGUACGACCGCAAGGUUGAAACUCAAAGGAAUUGACGGGGACCCGCACAAGCGGUGGAGCAUGUGGUUUAAUUCGAAGCAACGCGAAGAACCUUACCAAAUCUUGACAUCCUUUGACAACUCUAGAGAUAGAGCUUUCCCCUUCGGGGGACAAAGUGACAGGUGGUGCAUGGUUGUCGUCAGCUCGUGUCGUGAGAUGUUGGGUUAAGUCCC